CAGCAGCCGCGGGAAUACGAAGGGGGCUAGCGUUGUUCGGAAUUACUGGGCGUAAAGCGCACGUAGGCGGAUAUUUAAGUCAGGGGUGAAAUCCCAGAGCUCAACUCUGGAACUGCCUUUGAUACUGGGUAUCUUGAGUAUGGAAGAGGUGAGUGGAAUUCCGAGUGUAGAGGUGAAAUUCGUAGAUAUUCGGAGGAACACCAGUGGCGAAGGCGGCUCACUGGUCCAUUACUGACGCUGAGGUGCGAAAGCGUGGGGAGCAAACAGGAUUAGAUACCCGCGUAGUCCCUGUCUCUUAUAC
rnacentral:rRNA from 1 species